UUCCUGAAAUACAGAAAAAUGGUAUCAUGAGACACCCUACAUCAAACAGUGCAAUUUCAGUUUGUCUAAGGGACUCUACACAGUGAUAAAAUCCACAAGUACAUGGGGAAUGCUAUUUGUUCCCAAGCCCCAUUUGGUCUCUUUCAACUUCAUUCUUGAUCGGUGUGGAUGCAAGACAAUCACAUAUGACAUUUCACAGAUUCGUGUCUGCUAAUGGUUUAGAGAAUGCUCACUUUUUAAAUAUGUAUUCAUAAAUAAAUCUAAAUAUAGACUACAGAUCUUAUUUCCCACUUUGGUUAAAAGUACACUUAAAGACCUGGUCUCUGCAUUCCCUAUGAAAAUAUAUUACCUGUAAUAUUAAGGAAAACUAACAUCUAUCUUUAAUAAUAUUUGAAGUAUCAUGCUAACAAUGAGACAUCUGAAAGACAUACUACAUUUGAACCUGGAAUUUUUAGGACAAGGAAAAUGAGAAAUGGAAAAUAUUUGCGAAAAUUCUUAGUGUGUUGGUUAUUUCAGGUUGAGUGUAAUAUAAUCAAUUUUCAGAACUCCUGCAUCCCUGUAAAAUAGUAGUAUUCAAUUUUCUGUGUAAUCUUUGGAAAACAAAAAAGAAAACCUGCCUGGCAGGCAAAGCAGCUAAUUUUUAUUCCUUUGGCCAAUGCUAAUUUCUAUGUUACAGGUAGGUCUGGAAAUAAAAAUGAUUUGAAGUUGAAUAUAUUCAAAGCUAUGGUUUACUUUUAUUCUUUCAAUUCCUCUAAAUUCAAUAUAUGAACUUCAUCCUCCAAAAGGUUACUGACUAUGCAGAACUUCAUUCCAUUUUCCCUCCUAAUUAUAAUAAUGACUGAACAUUAUUUUUAAAUAAUUUACUUGAAUGUCUGCAGAAACUGCUAGACUUACACAGCUUCAGAAGUGAAGCCAGAUAACUGAAACAGAGAAGUUCUAUGGAAGACAGAAGAACCCUGUCUAUGGAAGACAGAAAAACAGUGGAAGGUGAAAUGUGUAGGCUUGGCUUGACAUAACCAAUCUGGAUCAUGUCUACAAAGGAAACAAACUGCAUACAUUUCUGCUGCAAAAGAUAACAAACCCCACAACUUUUCAGUAGUGGAUAUCUAAGAAAUGAACCUCACUGGACAAAAAUUAUAAGAACUACGAAAGUCUGAGUUUCUGAAAUUGAAGAAGAGUUCCAGCUAGACCUUCCUAUUGUAAUCUGCAGUACGAAGCACCCUCAUGGACAAUGAUGAUAAGAAUAUGGGGAGAAAAGCAUUUGAUGGAUGAGUGUGAUUUUUACCUGGCAUGAUGGCAGCAUGUGAGCAAGGACAAUGCCAACAUGGCCCUGGAGAAGGCAGAAAAAGCAACAAGUUAACUCGGGUCCUUAAUGCUUUCUUCUCAUUCUGAGACAGCAGUCUUGCCAAAUAAAAACAUGACUCUGAAUGUAAUACAGUAAUGUCACAUAGUCGGGGGAAGGCUAAAGAGAAUAAGAGGAGAGACAUAAUACCCCGCCGCUGCAGAAAUCCACAAUUCUGUCACCGGGUUUGGCCUGACUUGUCACCACAUAAACAAGGUUGUUUAACUGCUGUUGCUUCCUUAAAGCUCGAUCACUGGACAUUUUGCCUGGGGAAGACAAGAAGUGAAGACAAUGAAAUGGUAGGCAUUGUGAGAGAGUGAGAAGGCACUCAGAGAAUGGAUGGCCGGCGUCCAGGAAGAGGGGUGAAUAUAUAAAUGAGUUACAAAUUCCACAUAAUCCAUGAGGAGAGGACCAGAGACCUGGAACCCAGAAAUGAAAUCUCUCUAUGCAUAUUUUUACUUUUAUUCACAUCCAAUUUUUCUUUCGAUUGUCAUUGAAAAAACAUCUUCUAGAGAGGAAACAAUAAGUGAAAUAUUAAUCGCAGAGUCAUACACAAAGUGCUGAGUAAAUGUUUACUGGAUGAAUAAAAGUUAACAGUCACAGUCCCUUCCCUCUAUCCCUACCAGAGACAUAUUGCAAAGAUUACCUAAUUCUAGCUCAUUGUUUAAAUCUCCUUGGACAAAAGAGAUCUAUAAUAAAUAAAAACAUUCUUACUAUUUAA